CAACCUCAAAUUAGGUGAGACUACCCGCUAAAUUUAAGCAUAUUAUUAAGCGGAGGAAAAGAAACUAACCAGGAUUUCCAUAGUAGCUGCGAGCGAAGUGGAAAAAGCCCAGCACUGAAUUCUUAGUAUUUUAUACUAAGAAAUUGUAGUGUUUAAGAAGGUUUUAUAUUCUAAAGCAUUUUUAUUUGUUCAAGUUUAUCUUGAAUGGGGCCAUGGUCCAUAGAAGGUGCCAGGCCUGUAGAAGCAAAUAUGUGCUUUAGAAAAACCUUUCUUUAGAGUGCAACCUUAAGUGGGUGGUAAACUCCAUCUAAGGCUAAAUAUUACCACGAGACCGAUAGCAAACAAGUACCGUGAGGGAAAGUUGAAAAGAACUUUGAAGAGAGAGUUCAAAAGUACGUGAAACCGUUUAGGGGUAAACGGAAAAGAACUGAAAAUCCGAAAAGGGAGAUUCACGUCUUCUCGUUUGUUAUGAAUAGUAAUUUUCAGGAUAACUAAUGGCCUGUACAUUUUGUAUUAGUGCUAUUAAUUGCCUAAAUUUAUUAUGACUAACAGCGGUGGACCGCACUUCUUUCUUAGUAGGACGUCGCGACCCGUUAGCUUAUGAUCUAAGUGCAAAUAAUCAGUUUUAUUGUAAUUGAUAUUUAUAUGAAUUAUAAUAAAGUUAUUUGUUACUGAUUAAAUAGUUGGCGGUAAAAAACGACAGUGACGAGCCGCUUAUAAAGUGUUUAACAAGCCUUUAAUUUUUACUUAUACUAAAUUAGGAUUUAAACCCUUAUUUAGUAUGAUAAUUUUAUUGGUUUUGAUUAAACUGUGCUCACAACACUAGUCAGCGGCGUUACAGUUUCAGUAACUUUUCCGACCCGUCGAAACACCCAAGGAGUCUAACAUGUGCGCAAGUCAUUGGGUGAUAAAACCCAAAGGCGUAACGAAAGUAAAGAAAGCUUUGCUUUAUUAGGGAGGAUGAUUAUAAAUAUUAAUUAUAAUUCGCACUCCCGGGGCGUCUAUUACUCAUUGCGAGUAAGGGCGCACCUAGAGCGCACACGUUGGGACCCGAAAGAUGGUGAACUAUGCCAGACCAGGAUGAAGCCAGGGGAAACCCUGGUGGAGGUCCGUAGCGAUUCUGACGUGCAAAUCGAUCGUCAGAGUUUGGUAUAGGGGCGAUAGACUAAUCGAAUCAUCUAGUAGCUGGUUCCCUCCGAAGUUUCCCUCAGGAUAGCUGGUGCCAAUGAUGAGACACGAGUCUCAUCCGGUAAAGCGAAUGAUUAGAGGCCUUGGGGCCGAAACGACCUCAACCUAUUCUCAAACUUUAAAUGGAUGAGAGCCUUGGCUUGCUUAAAAGUGAAGCCAGGGAGUUGGAUCAAUGGUACCAAGUGGGCCAAUUUUGGUAAUGUGGGAUGAACCAAACGCAAAGUUAAGGCGCCCGAAUUGACGCUCAUUAGACACCAUGAAAGGCGUUGGUUGCUUAAGACAGCAGGACGGUGUCCAUGGAAGUCGGAAUCCGCUAAGGAGUGUGUAACAACUCACCUGCCGAAGCAACUAGCCCUGAAAAUGGAUGGCGCUGUAGCGUUGUGCCUAUACUUUGCCGUCAACGGCAAAUAUGGCCACAUACAUUGUAUGUUGUGCUAUUAAGUCUUGACGAGUAGGAGGGUCGCAGCGAUGAGCGCAGAAGGGUCUGGGCGUAAGCCUGCCUGGAGCCGUCGCUGGUGCAGAUCUUGGUGGUAGUAGCAAAUACUCCAGCGAGGCCCUGGAGGACUGUUGUGGAGAAGGGUUUCUUGUGAACAGCUGUUGCACAAGAGUCAGUCGAUCCUAAGCUCUAGGAGAAAUCCCAUGUUGAUGGGCGCCAUUAAUAUUAUAUUUAAUAUAAUUAAAAUGGUGGCUCCCCUUGAGCGAAAGGGAAUCUGGUUCCUAUCCCAGAACCUGGCAGCGGAACCGUUUCAAACGAGCCCUCGCACGAAGACUCGUCGGGGUGACCCAAAAGGACCCGGAGACGCCGUUGGAAGAUUCGGGGAGAGUUGUCUCUUCUCUAUAAGCGUUCGAGUUCCCUGGAAUCCUCUAGCAGGGAGAUAGGGUUUGGAACGCGAAGAGCACUGCAGUUACGGCAGUGUCCGAAUCUUUCCUUCGGACCUUGAAAAUCCGGGAGAGGGCCACGAGGAACACCGCGCCAGUUCGUACCCAUAUCCGCAGCAGGUCUCCAAGGUGAAUAGCCUCUAGUCGAUAGAAUAAUGUAGGUAAGGGAAGUCGGCAAGUUCGAUCCGUAACUUCGGGAUAAGGAUUGGCUCUGAGGAUCGUGGCGUGCCGGGCUUGGUUGGGAAGUGGAGCGGUGUCAACGAGCCGGGCCUGGGCGAGGUGAACAGCACUUCGGUGUUGGGAAUCUGAGCUCGGUCCCGUGCCUUGGCCACCCACGGAUCUUCCUUGCUGUGGACUCCAGUAAUUGUCGGUUGCUAGUUUCGGCUGGUAAACGGAUUCUGGGUCUUUUCGGCCGCCAUUCAACGAUCAACUC
rnacentral:rRNA from 1 species